rnacentral:rRNA from 1 species
UACGUAGGGUGCGAGCGUUGUCCGGAAUUAUUGGGCGUAAAGAGCUCGUAGGCGGUUUGUCGCGUCUGCUGUGAAAACCUAAGGCUCAACCUUGGGCUUGCAGUGGGUACGGGCAGACUAGAGUGCGGUAGGGGUGACUGGAAUUCCUGGUGUAGCGGUGGAAUGCGCAGAUAUCAGGAGGAACACCGAUGGCGAAGGCAGGUCACUGGGCCGCAACUGACGCUGGAGGAGCGGAAAAGCAUGGGGAGCGAACAGG